AAAUUGAAGAGUUUGAUCAUGGCUCAGAUUGAACGCUGGCGGCAGGCCUAACACAUGCAAGUCGAACGGUAACAGGAAGAAGCUUGCUUCUUUUAAGCGACGAGUGGCGGACGGGGUGAGUAAUGUCUGGGAAACUGCCUGAUGGAGGGAUAACUACUGGAAACGGUAGCUAACACCGCAUAACGUCGCAAGACCAAAGAGGGGGACCUUCGGGCCUCUUGCCAUCGGAUGUGCCCAGAUGGGAUUAGUCGUUGUUGGUGGGGUAACGGCUCACCAUGACGAUCCCUAGCUGGUCUGAGAGGAUGACCCGUGCCACACUGGAACUGAGACACGGUCCAGACUCCUACGGGGAGGCAGCAGGGGGAAUAUUGCACAAUGGGCGCAAGCCUGAUGCAGCCAUGCCAAGUGUGUAUGAAGAAGGCCUUCGGGUUGUAAAAGUACUUUCGUAUGGGAGGAAGGGAGUAAAGCACAAUUCCUUUGCUCAUUGACGUUACCCGCAGAAGAAGCACCUACUAACCUCGCGCCGCAGCAGCCGCGGUAAUACGGAGGGUAAAGCGUUAAUCGGAAUUAUUACUGGGCGUAAAGCGCACGCAGGCGGUUUGUUAAGUCAGAUGUGAAACUCUGGCCCAACUUGGGAACUGCAUCUGAUACUGGCAAGCUUGAGUCUCGUAGAGGGGGUAGAAUUCCGGUGUGUAGCGGUGGAAAUGCGAGGAAUACCGGUGGCGAAGGCGGCCCCCUGGACGAAGACUGACGCUCAGGUGCGAAAGCGUGGGGAGCAAACAGGAUUAGAUACCCUGGUAGUCCACGCCGUAAACGAUGUCGACUUGGAGGUUGUGCCCUUGAGGCGUGGCUUCCGGAGCUAACGCGUUAAGUCGACCGCCUGGGGAGUACGGCCGCAAGGUUAAAACUCAAAUGAAUUGACGGGGGCCCGCACAAGCGGUGGAGCAUGUGGUUUAAUUCGAUGCAACGCGAAGAACCUUACCUGGUCUUGACAUCCACAGAACUUUCCAGAGAUGGAUUGCGCCUUCGAACUGUGAGACAGGUGCUGCAUGGCUGUCGUCAGCUCACGUUGUGAAAUGUUGGGUUAAGUCCCGCAACGAGCGCAACCCCUUAUCCCUUUGUUGCCAGCGGUCCGGCCGGGAACUCAAAGGAGACCGCCAGUGACAUAAACUGGAGGGAAGGUGGGGAUGACGUCAAGUCAUCAUGGCCCCAUGACCGUGGCUACACACGUGCUACAAAUGGCGCAUGCCGCCAAAGAGAAGCGACCUCGCGAGAGCAAGCGGACCUCAUAAAGUAAGGCCGUAGUCCGGAUUGAGUCUGCAACUCGACCUACGAAGUCGGAAUCGCUAGUAAUCGUGGAUCAGAAUGCCACGGUGAAUACGUUCCCGGGCCUUGUACACACCGCCCGUCACACCAUGGGAGUGGGUUGCAAAAGAAGUAGGUAGCUUAACCUUCGGGAGGGCGCUUACCACUUUGUGAUUCAUGACUGGGGUGAAGUCGUAACAAGGUAACCGUAGGGGAACCUGCGGUUGGAUCACCUCCUUACCUUAAAGAAGC
rnacentral:rRNA from 1 species